GACGAACGCUGGCGGCGUGCUUAACACAUGCAAGUCGAACGGUAAGGCUCCAGCUUGCUGGGGUACACGAGUGGCGAACGGGUGAGUAACACGUGGGUGACCUGCCCUGCACUUCGGGAUAAGCCUGGGAAACUGGGUCUAAUACCGGAUAGGACCAUGGUGUGGAUGCUGUGGUGGAAAGUUUUUUCGGUGUGGGAUGG
rnacentral:rRNA from 1 species